rnacentral:tRNA from 3 species
GCGGCAGUAGCUCAAUUGGACAGAGCAUCUGGCUUCGGACCAGAGGGUUGGGGGUUCGAGUCCUCUCUGCCGCA